rnacentral:rRNA from 1 species
GAUGAACGCUGGCGGCGUGCCUAAUACAUGCAAGUCGAGCGAACAGAUGAGGAGCUUGCUCCUCUGACGUUAGCGGCGGACGGGUGAGUAACACGUGGAUAACCUACCUAUAAGACUGGGAUAACUUCGGGAAACCGGAGCUAAUACCGGAUAAUAUAUUGAACCGCAUGGUUCAAUAGUGAAAGACGGUUUUGCUGUCACUUAUAGAUGGAUCCGCGCCGCAUUAGCUAGUUGGUAAGGUAACGGCUUACCAAGGCAACGAUGCGUAGCCGACCUGAGAGGGGGAUCGGCCACACUGGAACUGAGACACGGUCCAGACUCCUACGGGAGGCAGAAGUAGGGAAUCGUCCGCAAUGGGCGAAAGCCUGACGGAGCAACGCAGCGUGAGUGAUGAAGGUCUUCGGAUCGUAAAACUCUGUUAUUAGGGAAGAACAAAUGUGUAAGUAACUAUGCACGUCUUGACGGUACCUAAUCAGAAAGCCACGGCUAACUACGU